UACAGAGGUCCCGAGCGUUGUUCGGAUUUACUGGGCGUAAAGGGUGCGUAGGUGGCGAGGUAAGUCGGAUGUGAAAGCUCGGAGCUCAACUCCGAAAUGGCAUUGGAAACUACCUUGCUCGAGGGUUGGAGGGGGGACUGGAAUACUUGGUGUAGCAGUGAAAUGCGUAGAUAUCAAGUGGAACACCAGUGGCGAAGGCGAGUCCCUGGACAACUCCUGACACUGAGGCACGAAAGCUAGGGGAGCAAACAGG
rnacentral:rRNA from 1 species